UGGGCAAGACGGGUGCCAGCCGCCCGCGGUAACACCUGCGCCACAAGUGGCAAUCACAUUUAUUGGGUCUAAAGCGUUCGUAGCUGGUUUAAUAACUCUCUUGUGAAAUUGUUGAGCUUAACUUAACAACGUGCAAGAGAAACUAUUAAACUUGGGACCGGGAGGAGUUAGAAGUAUUCUAGGGGGAGCGGUUAAAUGCUAUAAUCCCUGGAGGACUACCAGUAGCGAAGGCGUCUAACUAGAACGGGUCUGACAGUGAGGAACGAAGGCUAGGGGAGCAAAACGGAUUAGAUACCCGAGUAGUCCUAGCAGUAAACGCUGUGAGCUAUGUGUUGCAUAAUCUUUGUGGUUAUGCAGUGCCUAAGUGAAGAUGUUAAGCUCACCACCUGGGAAGUACAGUCGCAAGACCGAAACUUAAAGGAAUUGGCGGGGGCUCACUACAAGGGGUGAAGAGUGCGGUUCAAUUGGAUUCUACGCCGGAAAUCUCACCAGGAGCGACAGUAGAAUGAAGGUCAGAUUAAAGGUUUUACCUGACACACUGAGAGGAGGUGCAUGGCCA
rnacentral:rRNA from 1 species